UGACCUCGAAUCAGGUAGGAAUACCCGCUGAACUUAAGCAUAUCAAUAAGCGGAGGAA
rnacentral:rRNA from 2 species